rnacentral:misc_RNA from 1 species
GAAAGGCAAGAGCAACUUGAAUCCAAAACUCAACUCAAUUGAUGCCAGGAGACUAAUGUUGAAGGAUCGGAACUAGAAACUUUGAUUGAAUUUCCUUUUGUUAUGAUGGGAGAUUGAAGAGUUUGAAGAAUGUGUCAAAGGGAACGAAACGACAAAUAUGAUGCCAUGGAGAUUUCAGUGGUAGUUGACGAAAAACAAUCCAUGGAUACAGUAACAGAGAUCGAAGAAACUCUAAUCAUGGGGUUGAUGGAAGUUGAAGAUCUAUAUAACUAUUUAAUUCCUAUGGUUUUUGUUGAUUUUAUUUGCCAGGUAACCACGUAGAGACACAAGAAAAGAUGAAGUUUCUCAAUUCCAUUUUGUUCAAAUCCACCUUAUUUAUACUGUUCAAGAGGGCUAUAGGGGGUACUCUUUCGAAAAAGUUUUUUAUUCUUCAACAUUUUAAAGUCCGAGGACAAAUUUAUUUCAAGUGGGAAAGAUUAGCGUGGAAAGAUUCUAACUCGAGGACGAGUUUUCUCUAAGUGGGGGAGUAUGACGUGGUGCUGUGAGGGUCCAAAACAGGAGAAUUUUGUCUUGACAGAAUAGUACACACCCCCAGGGCAUGUAGUUCUUUGUCCAGCAAUGUAACACAGGAUUUUUCAAUCUAUAUUUCUUCUCUAUGCUGUCCAAGAUACAUUAUAUUUCCUAUUUUGUUAAGAGAAGGCUGCAAAUUUAGUUUUCUAGGUGUUUUUGAUGCGGGGCUUGGACAACAAGGCUAAACGAUUUUCUUUUUAACUAAUUUUAAUUUUCAA